GCUUCCAUCAGCAUCAAGCAGCUGCCUGACUUCUUCUGUGGUGCUGGACGGACUGUAGUCUGUAGCGCUCUCUGCUGCCACCGUCUGGACUAGAGGUUUCCAUGCAACCUGAGGCUCCGGGGCCACAUGUCUAUGGAGGUUCUCCUGCUCUGGAGUUGUAGAAGAAGAUCGAUAUGAAGCAAAAUCUGAAGAAGCAGGUCUGCUGAUGGAAGUGAAGCCAAAGAAAAGACGUCUUUACUGAGCAGAGUGUCUGCUGAACGUCUAUCCGGGUUCUUGAACGUGGACUUGUUUGGAGUGUGAAUUCAGAGAACAGUCACAGGGAUGCUGGAGCCUAUCCCACUUACUGAGGGGCAAAGGUGGAGUACAUCCCAGACAGAACCACGUUUUUGGACUGACAGGAAGUGGAGAGCCUGACAUACAAGAGCACGCAAACUCUACACAGAGAGAACCCAGCCGGGACGUGGACGGCCUUCAUGCUGAGAGGCGAGAGCGCCAACCACGGCGCCACACGGGACGAAGGAAGAGAUAAUCAAAGAGCUCAUCUAAUAUUGUCACUUUAAAUUUAAAAAGUUAUCCUUUCAAAUGUGUACAUUUUGAUUGUAGUUUUAAUUCCAAACUCUUCUUUGUUCUCAUUCCAGUGAAAUCCGUAUAACUUCUUAUUUCAUUACUGAUCAUGUUGUAUUGAUCGUUUCAAUGAGGAUCAAUUUAGAUCAGCUUAAAGGGAAUUACCAGACUGUAAAUGUAAAAACAGAAUAGGACAAUUAAAAAAAAUGGAAAAUUUAAAAACAAAAUUGUAAAUGUGAAAAAAUUAUACAUAAAAAAAAAGAAAAUUGAAAACAUUUUAAAUUAAAAAAAAGAAAAAAUUAAAGUUAAAAGUUUAAAUUUGAAAAAAAUAAUAUUUGAAACUUGAAAGACUAAUUAAACAUUUUAAAAAAGAACCCCCACGUAAAUGUAGGAUCAGCUCGGCAACAAAAACUUGGAAACUGAACUGAAACCUAAAAACUGAGAACUGGAAGCAAAGAGGGAGAAAAAACUCAUGUAAAAAGUUGAAAGCAGAAAUAAACACUUUUUAAUUUAGUAACAGUUUUAGGUUUAAAUGGAUCUUUUUAUUCAAGUUUUACAUUUACAAUUAUUUCCUUCAAGUUUAAAACAUAUAUUUUAAGUGACUUUUUUUAAAUUCACAGUCUCCCUCCCUCACCUGUGCC